GAUACGCCUUCGGAGCAAUCCACGACUGCACGAGAGUUCACAAAGAGGCAGAAAAUAGCAGAUAAAAGCAGGGAGACAGCUAACAAAACUGGGAGUAAGCUGUGACAUGGAUGGUGUUAAUGAUGAUCCAAGGUUCGAGGCCUCUCUAUUCUGCCUUUUCUGCCACAAGAUUGCUGUCUGAAGUUUGUAGGAGGCAGUGAUUGGCAAAUCUAUAUAUUCUUUAAAAUUUUGAUUUUUUUCCCCUUUGCUUUACAGUACUGCAAGAUGGGUCAAACUGCCUUUUUGCCUAGAAUGUUAGAAUGAUAUUUGUUAAUGUUAU
rnacentral:misc_RNA from 1 species